UACGUAGGGUGCGAGCGUUAAUCGGAAUUACUGGGCGUAAAGCGCACGUAGGUGGCGACGUAAGUCGGGUGUGAAAGCCCCGGGCUCAACCUGGGAAUUGCAUUCGAGACUGCAUUGCUGGAGUACGGAAGAGGAAGGCGGAAUUCCCGGUGUAGCGGUGAAAUGCGUAGAUAUCGGAAGGAACGCCGGUGGCGAAAGCGACUUGCUGGAUCUCUUCUGACGCUGAGGCGCGAAAGCUAGGGUAGCGAACGGG
rnacentral:rRNA from 1 species